rnacentral:rRNA from 1 species
GAACGCUAGCUACAGGCUUAACACAUGCAAGGUCGAGGGGCAGCAUACAGGUAGCUUGCUAUCUGUGAUGGCGACCGGCGCACGGGUGAGUAACGCGUAUCCAACCUUCCCCAUAGUAGGGCACAGCCCGGCGAAAGUCGGAUUAAUUCCCUAUGUUCUCCGAUGAUGACAUCAGAUUUGGAGCAAAGACUGAUCGCUAUGGGAUGGGGAUGCGUCUGAUUAGGCAGCAGGCGGGGUAACGGCCCACCUGGCCGACGAUCAGUAGGGGUUCUGAGAGGAAGGUCCCCCCACAUUGGAACUGAGACACGGUCCAAACUCCUACGGGAGGCAGCAGUGAGGAAUAUUGGUCAAUGGAGGCAACUCUGAACCAGCCAAGUAGCGUGAGGGAAGACUGCCCUACGGGUUGUAAACCUCUUUUAUAAGGGAAUAAACCGCGCCACGCGUGGCCGUACGUUCCGCGUAGUGACCUUGUGAAUAAGGACCGGCUAAUUCCGUGCC